rnacentral:rRNA from 1 species
UAAGGAAUAUUGGUCAAUGGACGCAAGUCUGAACCAGCCAUGCCGCGUGGAGGAUGAAGGUCCUCUGGAUUGUAAACUUCUUUUAUUUGGGACGAAAAAAGGCCUUUCUAGGUCGUCUGACGGUACCAGAUGAAUAAGCACCGGCUAACUCCGUGCCAGCAGCCGCGGUAAUACGGAGGGUGCAAGCGUUAUCCGGAUUUACUGGGUUUAAAGGGUGCGCAGGCGGAUAUGUAAGUCAGUGGUGAAAUCUUUAGGCUUAACCUGAAAAUUGCCGUUGAUACUAUAUAUCUUGAAUGCUGUGGAGGUAAGCGGAAUAUGUCAUGUAGCGGUGAAAUGCUUAGAUAUGACAUAGAACACCUAUUGCGAAGGCAGCUUACUACGCAGAUAUUGACGCUCAUGCACGAAAGCGUGGGGAUCAAACAGGAUUAGAUACCCUGGUCAGUCACGCCCUAAACGAUGAUUNUCUCGACAUACGCGAUACACUGUGUGUGUCUGAGCGAAAGCA